UUGCCUGCCAGCAGACCGUGUAUGAGACGCUGGCCAAACCUCUGCUACUGAGGGCCUUUGAAGGAUUUAACACCUGCUUGUUUGCCUAUGGCCAGACAGGUUCUGGUAAAUCAUACACGAUGAUGGGUUUUGAGGAGGAGGUAGGGGUGAUCCCAAAAUUCUGCCACGAGCUUUUUUCUAAACUGGCCUCAAUAAAAAGUGAAGAGGUCAAAUGUCAUGUAGAGAUGAGCUACUUUGAAGUGUACAAUGAGAAGAUCCAUGACCUGCUGGUGACCAGAGAAGAACCAAA